rnacentral:rRNA from 1 species
GACUCGUCACACUAUCAUUAACUGAAUCCAUAGGUUAAUGAGGCGAACCGGGGGAACUGAAACAUCUAAGUACCCCGAGGAAAAGAAAUCAACCGAGAUUCCCCCAGUAGCGGCGAGCGAACGGGGAGGAGCCCAGAGCCUGAAUCAGCAUGUGUGUUAGUGGAAGCGUCUGGAAAGGCGCGCGAUACAGGGUGACAGCCCCGUACACAAAAGCGCAUGUGCUGUGAGCUCGAUGAGUAGGGCGGGACACGUGGUAUCCUGUCUGAAUAUGGGGGGACCAUCCUCCAAGGCUAAAUACUCCUGACUGACCGAUAGUGAACCAGUACCGUGAGGGAAAGGCGAAAAGAACCCCGGCGAGGGGAGUGAAAAAGAACCUGAAACCGUGUACGUACAAGCAGUGGGAGCCUCUUUUAUGGGGUGACUGCGUACCUU